ACUGUCUGCUGUCUAUUAGACAAUGUUAAAAUUAGUGUCACUUUACCACCAACAGUCGUGUGUAUUAAUUUCUACCUCAUUUUAGUAAUCUGUGCCGGAGCAGUAAGACCCCACCUGUUUUUUUAUGCAGGAAACUCGAUUUUUAAGUUAACUAUAACAUGUGGCUUCUUCUGUUGAAGAAGCUAGUAAGAAAGCUAGUAGGAAAAAUU
rnacentral:lncRNA from 1 species